CACAUGAACCCCAAGCGUUAUCCGAAUUUAUUGGGCGUAAGGGUGCGUAGGCGUCCUGAUAUGUUUCCCGUUAAAGCCCGGGGCUCAACUCCGGUCCGGCGGGAAAAACUGUCAGGAUUGAGGGUGCGAGAGGUGUACGGAACCCAUGGUGUAGAGGUGAAAUUCGUUGAUAUCAUGGGGAACGCCAAAGGCGAAGGCAGUACACUGGCGCAUUCCUGACGCUGAGGCACGAAAGCCAGGGUAGCGAAGUGG
rnacentral:misc_RNA from 1 species